UAAGUGUGACCGCAACAAGGGAAAACAUGGCUUAUACUGUGGAAUGCCUGCGGGGUGAUGUUGAUAUUCUAAUGGAGUUCCUGCUCAAUGUCACCACAGCACCAGAAUUUCGUCGUUGGGAAGUAGCUGACCUUCAGCCUCAGCUAAAGAUUGACAAAGCUGUGGCCUUUCAGAAUCCGCAGACUCAUGUCAUUGAAAAUUUGCAUGCAGCAGCUUACCGGAAUGCCUUGGCUAAUCCCUUGUAUUGUCCUGACUAUAGGAUUGGAAAAGUGACAUCAGAGGAGGUACCAAUAAAACAUAUUUUGAAAUGUG
rnacentral:sRNA from 1 species